ACCAAACAAAACUCGUGCCAAUUGAUCACCCUCUCUCGUCAAAUUCUUCGAACAAUGGGCACAUGUUUCACUCUGGAUGUCCAGUAUAGGAAAGGGAGGCACCGGGAGUUUGAUGUGGAGUUGCCACCAUGCCGCUCAAUCAAGAUUACGGGAAGCCGGUGCAGUCAGACAGAUCAAGCGAUAUACAACAACAAGCAAAAUUUAAAUUUUUAAUCUAAUUUAAAGUUAAUUUUAAGAUUUUCUCAUCAUAGUUUAUUUUUCAGCCUUUACUUAUCAAAAUUUUCUUUUACA
rnacentral:lncRNA from 1 species